rnacentral:misc_RNA from 1 species
GAUGAAGAACGUAGCGAAAUGCGAUACGUAAUGUGAAUUGCAGAAUUCAGUGAAUCAUCGAAUCUUUGAACGCAUAUUGCGCUCUCUGGUAUUCCGGAGAGCAUGCUUGUUUGAGUAUCAGUAAACACCUCAACUCCCUUUUCUUUUCUGAAAUUGGAGCUGGACUUGAGUGAUCCCAACGCUUUCUUCCAAGAAAGUGGCGGGUUGCUUGAAAUGCAGGUGCAGCUGAACUUUUCUCUGAGCUAUAAGCAUAUCUAUUUAGUCUGCCUAAAAAACAGAUUAUUACCUUUGCUGCAGCUAACAUAAAGGAGACUAGUUCUUGUGCUGACUGAUGCAGGAUUCACAGAGACAGCUUCGGCUGACUUUGUAAACUCGAUCUCAAAUCAAGUAAGACUACCCGCUGAACUUAAGCAUAUCAAUAAGCGGAGGA